UAUGAAUUAGUCCUCUAUCUUGUAAGUAGUUUGAACACAUAAUAGCAAAAUAGAGCAUGUUGGACAUUGUAUGACUCAAAUAAUAAGACAAAGAGUUUGAACAUGUUAUAUAGAAAAGUAAAGUUUUAGGCAAAGGGAAUUUGGGAAGGAGGGGUCCUAGGUUGGUUAGCCUACCGGAUCAACCCACACAAUGCCAUGUAAACACUCCUCAAUGAGGGGCUACACGUGACAUUAGCUCGUAGUCAUCAUAUCCAUAUUUACCCUUUCCCACCCCUUAGAGGUGAUUAAAGCAAGUUUUAU
rnacentral:lncRNA from 1 species